UCCCUCUUUCCCCCUCUUUUUUCUUAUUCAUUGGGCGUAAAGGGUGCGUAGGCGGCGCGGUAAGUCGGGUGUGAAAUCUCGGAGCUUAACUCCGAAACUGCAUUCGAUACUGCCGUGCUUGAGGACUGGAGAGGAGACUGGAAUUUACGGUGUAGCGGUGAAAUGCGUAGAUAUCGUAAGGAAGACCAGUGGCGAAGGCGGGUCUCUGGACAGUUCCUGACGCUGAGGCACGAAGGCCAGGGGAGCAAACGGG
rnacentral:rRNA from 1 species